CACGUAGGGGGGCGAGCGUUGUCCGGAUUUAUUGGGCGUAAAGAGCUCGUAGGCGGCUUGGUAAGUCAGGUGUGAAACCCCCCGGGCUCAACCCGGGGACGCCACCUGAUACUGCUAUGGCUUGAGUCCGGUAGGGGAGCGUGGAAUUCCUGGUGUAGCGGUGAAAUGCGCAGAUAUCUGGAGGAACACCGGUGGCGAAGGCGGCAUCCUGGACCAAUACUGACACUGAGGAGCGAAAGCCAGGGGAGCAAACGGG
rnacentral:rRNA from 1 species